GACGAACGCUGGCGGCGUGCUUAACACAUGCAAGUCGAACGGAAAGGCCCUGCUUUUGUUGGGUGCUCGAGUGGCGAACGGGUGAGUAACACGUGAGUAACCUGCCCUUGACUUUGGGAUAACUUCAGGAAACUGGGGCUAAUACCGGAUAGGAGCUCCUGCUGCAUGGUGGGGGUUGGUAAGUUUCGGCGGUUGGGGAUGGACUCGCGGCUUAUCCGCUUGUUGGUGGGGUAGUGGCUUACCAAGGCUUUGACGGGUAGCCGGCCUGAGAGGGUGACCGGCCACAAUGGUACUGAGGUAGGGCCCAGUCGCCUACGGGAGGCAGCAGUGGGGAAUAUUGCACAAUGGGCGGAAGCGUGAUGUAGCAAUGCUGCGUGCGGGAUGACGGGCUUUGGGUUGUAAACCGCUUUCGCCUGUGACGAAGCGUGAGUGACGGUAAUGAGUAAAGAAGCACCGGCUAACUACGUG
rnacentral:rRNA from 1 species